UAUGGAGGAAUUUUAUCUAAAUGUGUUUCUCAUCUUACAUUCUUCCUCCAAAUAGGACCCAUAGUAUGCCGCAGUAGCUGGAUAGUAAACGGAACUUCUUGCUACCUCUUCAGCAAUGUAACUGCGAACUGGGAGACAGCCAAGCAAAACUGCAUCGACAUGAAGAGUGAUUUGACAGUGAUCACUAGUGAUGACGAAUACAAUUUUCUUUUAGAAAACGUUGUGGAACGUGCUUGGAUUGGGAUGUAUUCCCCAUAUUUAAACAAGACGUUUUUGUGGAUUGACGGCACUACUCCAACUAUAAACAAAUGGGGGACGGAUGAACCUAACAAUGCUGGAUAUGGAGAAUACUGUGCCGAAAUUUAUAAACCAAUAAAAGGAUGGAAUGAUGCGUCAUGCACGAUUACUAUAAGGUA